UACGUAGGGUGCGAGCGUUAAUCGGAAUUACUGGGCGUAAAGCGUGCGCAGGCGGCUAUGCAAGACAGAUGUGAAAUCCCCGGGCUCAACCUGGGAACUGCAUUUGUGACUGCAUGGCUAGAGUACGGCAGAGGGGGAUGGAAUUCCGCGUGUAGCAGUGAAAUGCGUAGAUAUGCGGGGAAGACACCGAUGGCGAAGGCAAUCCCCUGGGCCUGUACUGACGCUCAUGCACGAAAGCGUGGGGAGCAAACAGG
rnacentral:rRNA from 1 species